UACCAGCACCCCGAGUGGUCGGGACGUUUAUUGGGCCUAAAGCAUCCGUAGCCGGUUCUACCAGUCUUCCGUUAAAUCCAGCUGCUUAACAGAUGGGCUGCGGAAGAUACUAUGGAGCUAGGAGGCGGGAGAGGCAAGCGGUACUCGAUGGGUAGGGGUAAAAUCCGUUGAUCCAUUGAAGACCACCAGUGGCGAAGGCGGCUUGCCAGAACGCGCUCGACGGUGAGGGAUGAAAGCUGGGGGAGCAAACCGG
rnacentral:rRNA from 1 species